AGUGAACGCUGGCGGUAGGCCUAACACAUGCAAGUCGAACGGCAGCACAGUAAGAGCUUGCUCUUACGGGUGGCGAGUGGCGGACGGGUGAGGAAUACAUCGGAAUCUACUUUUUCGGGGGGGAUAACGUAGGGAAACUUACGCUAAUACCGCAUACGACCUACGGGUGAAAGCAGGGGAUCUUCGGACCUUGCGCGAUUGAAUGAGCCGAUGUCGGAUUAGCUAGUUGGCGGGGUAAAGGCCCACCAAGGCGACGAUCCGUAGCUGGUCUGAGAGGAUGAUCAGCCACACUGGAACUGAGACACGGUCCAGACUCCUACGGGAGGCAGCAGUGGGGAAUAUUGGGCAAUGGGCGCAAGCCUGAUCCAGCCAUACCGCGUGGGUGAAGAAGGCCUUCGGGUUGUAAAGCCCUUUUGUUGGGAAAGAAAAGCAGCAGGUUAAUACCCCGCUGUUCUGACGGUACCCAAAGAAUAAGCACCGGCUAACUACGUG
rnacentral:rRNA from 1 species